CCUACGGGCGGCAGCAGUGGGGGAUAUUGCACAAUGGGGGAAACCCUGAUGCAGCGAAGCCGCGUGAGUGAAGAAGUAUCUCGGUAUGUUAAGCUUUAUCAGCAGGGAAGAAAAAAGACGGACCCUGACUCAGAAGCCCCGGCUAACUACGAGCCAGCCGCCGAGGUACGACGUAGGGAGCAAGCGUUGUCCGGAUUUACUGGGGGUAAAGGGUGCGUAGGCGGCCUUGCAAGUCGGAAGUGAAAUCCAUGGGCUUAACCCGCGAACUGCUGUUGAAACUGGAGGGCUUGAGUGAAGUAGAGGCAGGCGGAAUGCCCGGUGUAGCGGUGAAAUGCGUAGAUAUCGGGAGGAACACCAGUGGCGAAGGCGGCCUGCUGGGCUUUAACUGACGCUGAAGCACGAAAGCGUGGGUAGCGAACAGGAUUAGAUACCCUGGUAGUC
rnacentral:rRNA from 1 species